rnacentral:rRNA from 1 species
UACGGAGGGGGCUAGCGUUGUUCGGAAUUACUGGGCGUAAAGCGCACGUAGGCGGUUUUGUAAGUCAGGGGUGAAAGCCCGGAGCUCAACUCCGGAAUUGCCUUUGAGACUGCAUCACUUGAUCGUCGGAGAGGUGAGUGGAAUUCCGAGUGUAGAGGUGAAAUUCGUAGAUAUUCGGAAGAACACCAGUGGCGAAGGCGGCUCACUGGACGACUGAUGACGCUGAGGUGCGAAAGCGUGGGGAGCAAACAGG